ACACCAUCAAGCCAGAUCUUCUGUCCUUAGCUAAGUGUUUUAAUAGAUGCAGGCACCGUCUUCAGCACAUAUGCCUAUGGAGCCAUUCUUAUGAGUCAAAAAGUAGCAGAUGUCAUGUAUUCUCAAAGCAACAAGCUAGGUGAUUUCUCGCAUGGAUUUACUUAUUCUGCUCAUCCAUUUUCAUGUGCUAUAGCGAUUGAAGCGUUAAAGACAUACAAGAAACACUUCAUAUGGAUUAAUUGAGCAGCUAAGCCUUGCGUGGUUUCUUGAGUACGCCCUCCGGCACUGCAACAUGUGGUUCUGUAACUGAGCUCUCGCCACAGUAUCUUCUGUAGAUGUCGUGAUAUCAUUCAGUGGAGGCAAAUACUGGGCCUGCACCACAGCUGGUGUUAGUGUGAGCUGUAGAUAGCUUCUCACCGUCAGAGCACAUGCAUGACACACAUGUAAAUCCAUGCAUAUCAUCUUCUGGGUUGUUGUUCCCGUCCUGUCAACACAGAUUAGACUAUGUCACACUAACUCUCUAUUAAAAAGUUUUUGUCAGCUAGGAGUAUGGGAUGGUUUACAUGUGAGUUGAGAGUUGCAGUUGGGGGUUGGGGCACGUUGGGUGAUCAUCUUAGAAGGAUCAUUUCAACCUCCAUAAGCUCUCCCUCUUUCAUGACAUUGCAUGCCUCCAAAAACGGAGAAGCCACGCUUCUGAGGAGAACGGCCGGCCGUCAAACCGGCAAACAUUAUUGGAGAGUAAAAUGUAAAAAUACAAUAAUUUUGUUAUAUAGAUAAUGAUUUAAAA